rnacentral:rRNA from 1 species
UACGAAGGGGGCUAGCGUUGUUCGGAAUUACUGGGCGUAAAGCGUGCGCAGGCGGCUUUCCAAGUCAGUGGUGAAAGCCCGGAGCUCAACUCCGGAAAUGCCAUUGAAACUGUGAGCUUGAGAACGAGAGAGGUGAGUGGAAUUCCCAGUGUAGAGGUGAAAUUCGUAGAUAUUGGGAAGAACAUCAGUGGCGAAGGCGGCUCACUGGCUCGUAACUGACGCUCAUGCACGACAGCGUGGGGAUCAAACAGG